CACUUUCCUGUCGCCUGGGUAUAGACACAACACAUUGGUUUCCUUGCGACGAACAGUAUAGUGAUUGAAGUAUACCUGCCCGUGGUGGUACAUACUCUUGCUUAGCUCCGUGAUAGUCUACCAUAUUUAGGAGACGUCUUAGGUAACUCCAAGGGUUGGUCAGGUCUAUCAGCCAUGCACAGGACCACGAGUGUUGCUGCCCUGGGUGUGGUCAUGAUAGCAAGCAUUGGAUUCAUCUCCUUAGGUGAGGCCUUGAGGUGUCUUGAGUGUGACGGGCAUGGAAACGCGUGCCAUAGUAACGCCAAUAUGACAACGGUGCCGUGCGGGGGAACCUGCUACUGGAAGAUGGACAUUUCACGUGAAUUUGAUGUCCGCCGCUGCCACCCUUUCCUAAUGCACACGAAGCCACUGAGCAUGAACAACAAUAUGGAGGAUGAGUGUUGGUGUAACUACGAUAACUGCAACAUAGCCGACUGCUCCCCGUAGACUUAAUUGUUGGGAAUAUAAAUUAAUUGUUGGGAAUAUAAAUUAAGUUGCAAAAAUAAAUAUUGGGCUUGGCGUCGUUGGGUGAGCGAGGCGAUGCACCCCACUGUUUAUACCCCCAUUGAUUAAUUGAGAAAUAAAUAUAUCUUGCUAUACCUUGGUUUCUGACACACACACAC